GACCAAGGGUUCCUGUCCAACGUUAAUCGGGGCAGGGUGAGUCGACCCCUAAGGCGAGGCCGAAAGGCGUAGUCGAUGGGAAACAGGUUAAUAUUCCUGUACUUGGUGUUACUGCGAAGGGGGGACGGAGAAGGCUAUGUUGGCCGGGCGACGGUUGUCCCGGUUUAAGCGUGUAGGCUGGUUUUCCAGGCAAAUCCGGAAAAUCAAGGCUGAGGCGUGAUGACGAGGCACUACGGUGCUGAAGCAACAAAUGCCCUGCUUCCAGGAAAAGCCUCUAAGCAUCAGGUAACAUCAAAUCGUACCCCAAACCGACACAGGUGGUCAGGUAGAGAAUACCAAGGCGCUUGAGAGAACUCGGGUGAAGGAACUAGGCAAAAUGGUGCCGUAACUUCGGGAGAAGG
rnacentral:rRNA from 1 species